CUCUCUUUUAAAAAAUCAGCCAUUUGGGGUUUUAAGCCAUAAACGAUUUUUCUUGUUGCAGGGGAUUGCAGAGGCAAAGCUAGGCUAGGUCUUGGAGGCUGGUGUAAGGCGGUGCGUGAAGGCAGGACGCUGAUGGGAGAGACUGGUCGAAGAAAAGCCGAAAUGGAUUCUCCGUGCCUUGGAUGGAGGAAGAGGGGCGAAGCGCGAGCUUCUUCAACUCGUUCUGUCCGGUGAGGAGUGAUCCAGCUUGGGCUGACGAGGGGCUCCGGAGCCUUCACGUUCAGUGCUUUUUACCUGCCAAUCAAACUGCUACAAGACAACACCCUGAUCUGGCAUGGUCGCAUCGAACCUAGAAAUUGUACUCUCCUCAAGAUCCGCUUGAGAGAAUCUGACUGAUGGCUUUGGUCUGAGAGUUCAGACAUCUCUUGUGAUACUAAGAAAGAUUCCUUUUCCAUUUGCUGGAUCCUCCUGUUUUGUCAUCCCUGAGUCCUGUAAGAAGCUCAUCAGGAGGUCCCCUGCGCUGGAAGGACCAUGUCUUUUGUCUACACAUUUGACUGUGUACCAUGUGCAUGCCUGGUGCUCAUGGAAGUCAGAAGAGGGCAUGGGAUUCCCUGGGACUUCAAUUACAGACAGGCAUGAUGGCAUGGUGGUAUAUUCCUUGAAUUAUAGCACUCCUGAGGUGGAGGGCAGAUAGAGCUCUAUGAGUUUAAGGCAAGUCUGGUCUAUGCAGUGAGUUCGAGGACAGCCCAGUUACACAGUAGAAUC
rnacentral:lncRNA from 1 species